GUUCAUCAGGUUAUGACCAACACCACCCUAUCUGCACCAGUCUUCUUGUUCAUCGGGUUUGGACCAACGCUACCCUAUCUGCACCAGUCUUGGUGUUCAUCAAGGUUUGGACCAACACCACCCUAUCUACACCAGUCUUGGUGUUCAUCAAGGUUUGGACCAACACCACCCUAUCUACACCAGUCUUGGUGUUCAUCGGGUUUGGACCAACGCCACCCUAUCUGCACCAGUCUUCUUGUUCAUCGGGUUUGGACCAAC
ensembl:lncRNA